UGGGGAAUAUUGCACAAUGGGCGCAAGCCUGAUGCAGCCAUGCCGCGUGUGUGAAGAAGGCCUUCGGGUUGUAAAGCACUUUCAGCGGGGAGGAAGGCGUUAAGGUUAAUAACCUUGGCGAUUGACGUUACCCGCAGAAGAAGCACCGGCUAACUCCGUGCCAGCAGCCGCGGUAAUACGGAGGGUGCAAGCGUUAAUCGGAAUUACUGGGCGUAAAGCGCACGCAGGCGGUCUGUCAAGUCGGAUGUGAAAUCCCCGGGCUCAACCUGGGAACUGCAUCUGAUACUGGCAAGCUUGAGUCUCGUAGAGGGGGGUAGAAUUCCAGGUGUAGCGGUGAAAUGCGUAGAGAUCUGGAGGAAUACCGGUGGCGAAGGCGGCCCCCUGGACGAAGACUGACGCUCAGGUGCGAAAGCGUGGGGAGCAAACAG
rnacentral:rRNA from 1 species